GAAGGCCUACGGGAGGCAGCAGUGAGGAAUAUUGGUCAAUGGGAGGAAUCCUGAACCAGCCAUGCCGCGUGCAGGACGACGGCUCUACGAGUUGUAAACUGCUUUUGUACCGGGGUAAAAUGCCUUACGAGUAGGGUUUUGAAAGUACGGUACGAAUAAGGAUCGGCUAACUCCGUGCCAGCAGCCGCGGUAAUACGGAGGAUCCGAGCGUUAUCCGGAUUCAUUGGGUUUAAAGGGUGCGCAGGCGGAUUUUUAAGUCAGCGGUCAAAUCGUGGGGCUCAACCUCAUCCAGCCGUUGAAACUGG
rnacentral:rRNA from 1 species